CCGAGAGGCGUAGGCGAUGGAUAACCGGUUGAUAUUCCGGUACCCGCUGUGAAGCGUCAAACAUCGAGCAUCGUGAUGCUAAGGCCGUGAAACCGCCCGCUGCCGGCUUUGCCGUCAGUGGGAGUGGUGGAGCCGCUGAACCAAGCGGUUAGUAGGUGAGUGAUGGGGUGACGCAGGAAGGUAGUCCAUCCCGGGCGGUGGUUGUCCCGGGGUAAGGGUGUAGGACGCACGGUAGGCAGAUCCGUCGUGCAUAUAGUCUGAGACCUGAUGCCGAGCCGAUUGUGGUGAAGUGGAUGAUCCUAUGCUGUCGAGAAAAGCCUCUAGCGAGUUUCAUGGCGGCCCGUACCCCAAACCGACUCAGG
rnacentral:rRNA from 1 species